AAAAAUCAUACACUUCUCUGCAAUCCGUCACAACUCCAAACAACAUGUGAACUAGGCUGCUGUUUUAUCCAUUUUACAGACUGGAAUUUGAGAAUGUGGUAUGCUUCAGAGUAUGAAGUGAAGGGGUGGAUUGUCAGCUGAAUGUUGAUGAUUAGCAGAGAUGAAGUCUCCAGAGCUAUAUUAUCUGGGCCAUCCUGAAGGAUGCUUGAGUGAGUGUUUUUAGCAACCUCACUGAGAUUAUCAUGAAAAUAUCAACUCAAGAAGUGCGUACAUUUGACAAUUCAAAGCUGCCAAUACAAUGAUGCCAGUUCUUGGCUUCAAGCACUAUCCAUUCCAGUACUUUGAAAAGGCACUGCAAUCAAAAGAAGAAACAAAACAGAUGAAGGAAAAGAUGCUGCAUUACUCGGUUGGCGCGUAUUCCAUGUUAUGGAGAUAUUUACCAUGAACUCAGUCUUGGCUGGAGGUGGGGCUGGAGGAGAGAAUUAAAUAUCAUCAGGCAUUAUUUUUGCUGGAUUAUGAUCAUCAUUAUUCCAUGUUCAUUAUUAUACUAUUCUUUAUAACUUUUAACAGCUAUUAUCAUUUAUCAUUUAUU